GUACCUACUCUUGUGACUCCUCUACCGGCUGUCUCAAGUUACCAGACAAAUGGAUGAUUCAACAUGCUGGUGGGAAAAGAAAAAUACCAAUUUUUCCAUUCAAGGACAUCAGCCAAAACUUCCACUUGAACAUUCCAUUACGCUUGAAUGAAGAGGUUUAAACAGCGAGGCACAUCAGAGAUUGGCUCUAAAGCAUCCUUAUGAAACAGUUCCUCUACAUGCCGGCUACUGACUAGAUGCUGGGAAGACCACUGUGAAAUGCCAUGGUUCCUGCUAACAAGUGCCUGUCAGUCCCCUCUGGCUCUAAGGAGGUCUCUCUCUAAGAAAGCAGGAUGGGGUGAAGGUUAAAUUUCCUGUAAAACACCUGGAAGAAUCCCUCAUGCUAAAAGAAAGCAACUUAUUCCUGCAGAUCAUAUGGGGCAGAGAAAAAAAAUGAAAUAAAGCAGUUUAUGUACUCAUGUUCAUAAAAACUGUACUGUGAACCUAAAACACAAAACAAACCAUUGUACGGGUGUGUCUUUUAUUGAACCUAGAGUUUGACAGCUUUCCAGCAAGGCAAUCUAAGAUACAGUAUUUUUGUGAUUCCUUAACUGUCAAAAUUUGAGUAUUCAUUGUGCAAAGCAUUGUGGAAUUAAGCAGAUAAAAGAAAAGAUACAGUUUCUGCCUUCAUAAGGAUAAGGUUACUUUGGUAUUGAAAUCUUUCUUUUCAGAAAGCUUACAGCAGCGACAAAAUGGGUAGAAUAUGAGCAAAUUUGUGUAGCUGCUUUCUCUGUUUUCAUCUGUUUUUGGCACCCAGUAGCCUCUCCUGGUCUCUCGGAGUCCCUCAUGACUCACUUCCAAAAGUCCUCCUCCUUUCACUUCCUUCUUUUAUUAUGCUUAUAUCAAAAUUACUUGCUUAAAUCUAUUUUCUUAAAGACCUGUUGCCAAAGUGAUAGCUAGCUAUUCUGGUAAACUAAUCCAUGCUAAGGUACAUUCUAGUUUUAUCCCUUCAAGUAACAUAUUACACUUUAACUGUCUUUUUAGGGACAAUGUCUUAAUGCAUAGAAGUCUAAUGGUGGGGAUUUCUGCAUACAUGAUGGGCCUUUCAGUGUUCCCCAAAUACAUCAUCUGAAGGGCUGCCAACAUUAUCUCCCUGUCCUGAGGGUGGGGAAGAAAAUAAAUGGGCUAAAUCUGCAUUGCUUGGAGGAGUUCCUAAUAUCAUGCUUGCCAAAACCCAGGAGAGGUAGGUAGGUCCGUCCACACCUUUGCAGGGUCCUUUGCUUCAACAAGCCCAGCCCGGUUUUCCACAACUCCUAACAGGGAAAAAAACAUUUCUCAAAAGAGAUGUGCAAGUGACAUAUGGAGCAGGACAAUUCUUUGUUUCUCAUAAUGGUAUUAUACAUGGCAGGACAUUUUAGCAUCCCUGGUUGCAACCCACUAAAUUCCAAUAGCAUCUCCCUUCCCUCAUUGCUGUCUGUCUGGUCACUGUGACAACCAACAUGACUCCCACACAUUUCCAAAUAUGUAGAACAACCCUGGUGAGAACUAUUGGACAUUCCUUUUAGAGCCAGUUAGAACAUUUUCUCUGCAGGAAGCACCAUAUGUUCCAUCAGCCUCACUUGAAAGAGGUUGAGUGGCCUUGGAUCUCCACUGACCAGGUUCAGGAAUACAGUGUAUGUGUGGAAAAAGGCAGACAUAAACUCUCCCCUUUAACAUCCAUAAACCAAUUCUAGCCGACAAUCUUACCAUGAUUCAG